rnacentral:rRNA from 1 species
CCUACGGGAGGCAGCAGUGAGGAAUAUUGGUCAAUGGACGCGAGUCUGAACCAGCCAAGUCGCGUGAAGGAUGACUGCCCUAUGGUUUGUAAACUUCUUUUAUAUGGGAAUAAACUGUUCCACGUGUGGGUUUUUGUAUGUACCCUAUGAAUAAGCAUCGGCUAACUCCGUGCCAGCAGCCGCGGUAAUACGGAGGAUCCGAGCGUUAUCCGGAUUUAUUGGGUUUAAAGGGAGCGUAGGUGGAUUGUUAAGUCAGUUGUGAAAGUUUGCGGCUCAACCGUAAAAUUGCAGUUGAAACUGGCAGUCUUGAGUGCAGUAGAGGUGGGCGGAAUGCGUGGUGUAGCGGUGAAAUGCUUAGAUAUCACGAAGAACUCCGAUUGCGAAGGCAGCUCACUGGACUGCAACUGACACUGAGGCACGAAAGUGUGGGUAUCAAACAGGAUUAGAUACCCCAGUAGUC